rnacentral:lncRNA from 10 species
CAAACAUAGUGUUUGUACCACUUCCAGCUGAAGUACAAAACAUGUAAAUCCCUCAAGGAAUGGAAAAAACAAUGCUCCUAAAGAUGUCAGAAAGACAUCAAUUCAAAAUUCUGCUAUGACGUAAUGAUACCUUCCAGGGAUGCUUUAAAAUCAUGCUUUAAAACCCUGAAGUGUAUCCAGUGACACUCAGCUGGAUGCCAUCAUGCUUGCAAAUGCAUACAAAGGCCCUUGAGUAUUUACUGGGCUAUGGGCUACUCUGAUGCCUCCUCUACACUCAGGGCCAUCCCAUUGGCCUUGCAACAAUUAAGAAUGAGGAAGAUCUGUAUCCAGAAAAGGGAGCCCUGGAGAACAGAAAGGAAGAAUGGUCUAGAAGAGCAUUGUGGAGUGGUUCUCUCAUCUUCUCAGCUCCUUUUAGAAGAAAAUUCAAGAUCUGGCAACACUGUGCCCAAGCUUCUCUAAGGAAGAGAUUGUCAAAGUGUGGUGCCUGGACCAGCAGCAUUAGCAUCACCUGGGACCAGUUAGAAAUGAAGAUGCUCAGGCUCCAUCCCAGACCUGCUGGGGCUGGGGCCCAACAAUCUGUGUUUUAACAGGCUCCCUGUGUGACUGUGAUACGUGAUGCUCCAAGGUAAUUGGCCACUGAAGAAAGUAAAGACUGUUCUACACCUAAGAAGCAAGGACUCAAUUACAGCAUGUGUUACUGCAUUAUAUCAUUUAAAAUAUUCAAAAUUAAUGGAAGGAAUAAACACAGGCUAAAGGAUGAUUUAAAAAAAGAGUUAAAUGCUGGUUUGAAUCCUUACUUUUUAAUACCACUUUUUAAAAAGGUUAUUUUAUUUGCAUGCCAAGUAUCUACAAAAUAAAACAUCUCUUCAUGACCUUUAGAUUUUAUUUUUGAUACCAGAAACAUUUUUCGUGCAGAAGAU